GUUGGUGUGGCAGAGCCUGGCUAUUGCAAAAGACCUAAGCCCUUUCGACAGAGGUUCAACUCCUCUCAUUAACU
rnacentral:tRNA from 1 species